rnacentral:rRNA from 1 species
AUUGAACGCUGGCGGCAGGCCUAACACAUGCAAGUCGAGCGGAUGAAGGGAGCUUGCUCCUGGAUUCAGCGGCGGACGGGUGAGUAAUGCCUAGGAAUCUGCCUGGUAGUGGGGGAUAACGUCCGGAAACGGGCGCUAAUACCGCAUACGUCCUGAGGGAGAAAGUGGGGGAUCUUCGGACCUCACGCUAUCAGAUGAGCCUAGGUCGGAUUAGCUAGUUGGUGGGGUAAAGGCCUACCGAGGCGACGAUCCGUAACUGGUCUGAGAGGAUGAUCAGUCACACUGGAACUGAGACACGGUCCAGACUCCUACGGGAGGCAGCAGUGGGGAAUAUUGGACAAAGGGCGAAAGCCUGAUCCAGCCAUGCCGCGUGUGUGAAGAAGGUCUUCGGAUUGUAAAGCACUUUAAGUUGGGAGGAAGGGCAGUAAGUUAAUACCUUGCUGUUUUGACGUUACCAACAGAAUAAGCACCGGCUAACUUCGUG